UUGAUUCAUUCUAGACACCAUAACAUAUUGCACCCUGCACCAAAAAAUUUAAACUCCCGCUCAAUUUUUAUACUUUCCGCCUAAAUUUCCCCUAAUUUGAUUCCCCACCCAAAAUCCAUCUGAUACCUCUAGUUUCCCAUCCCAGUUGCUUAAAAACAGAAAAAAAAAAAAAAAAACAUAUUGAAUACCCUAGCCGCUCGUUUGUUCGCCGGCCGGAUCUCGCCGCUUGUUCCCAUCGCCAGUUCUAGUAUCCAAGAAUCUGCAGGUGCUUGCUCCCAAUCUUCUAUUUGAAGUACAAGGUACAAGUUAUGUGAUCCCGGACGAUAGACCUUAAAGCUCAACUUAAAGAAGAAAGCGAAGAAAGAUCAGAACUUAAACAACAAUUUCAAGAGUUUAUGUAAAAUUGGCAUCCUACCAAUUGGUGUUAGUUUUUGGAUAUCAUUUUCAAAAAUGUAUUAUAUAUGAAGUUUCGUUGUAAUGCAUGA